GGGCGUGUAGCUCAGUUGGUAGAGCGUUCGCUUUGCAUCCUCUCGAUGCGAAAGGCCUUGGGUUCGAUUCCCAACUCGUCCA